CGGCCUCUCACGCCGCUAACAGGGGUUCAAAUCCCCUUGGGGACG
rfam:Desulfovibrio sp. TomC contig00010, whole genome shotgun sequence.